UUUGGUGGCGAUAGCGAAGAGGUCACACCCGUUCCCAUGCCGAACACGGAAGUUAAGUUCUUCAGCGCCGAUGGUAGUCGGGGGUUUCCCCCUGUGAGAGUAGGACGCCGCCAAGC
rnacentral:rRNA from 1 species